rnacentral:rRNA from 1 species
AACGAGCGCAACCCUGCUAUCUGUUGCCAGCAAGUAAUGUUGGGGACGUCAGAUGGAACUGCCGGUGACAAACCGGAGGAAGGUGGGGACGGACGUCAAGUCAUCAUGGCCCUUAUGUCCUGGGCUACACACGUGCUACAAUGGCCGGUACAGAGCGCAGCGAAGCCGCGAGGCAAAGCGAAUCGCAAAAAGCCGGUCUCAGUACGGAUUGGAGUCUGAAACCCGACUCCAUGAAGUUGGAAUCGCUAGUAAUCGCGCAUCAGCAUGGCGCGGUGAAUACGUUCCCGGGCCUU